rnacentral:rRNA from 1 species
AGCCAGCCAUGCCGCGUGAGUGAUGAAGGCCCUAGGGUUGUAAAGCUCUUUCCCGGUGAAGAAAAUGCCCGUUUCCGGAGAAGAAGCCCCGGCUAACUUCAUGCCACCACCCGCGGUAAUACGACGGGGGCUAGCGUUGUUCGGAUUUACUGGGCGUAAAGCGCAUUUAAGCGGACUUUUAAGUCAGGGGUGAAAUCCCUGAGCUCAGCUCUGGAACUGCCUUUGAUACUGGAAAUCUUGAUUAUGGUAGAGGUGAGUGGAAUUCCGAGUGUAGAGGUGAAAUUCGAAGAUUUUCGGAGGAACGCCAAUGGCGAAGGCGGCUCACUGGACCAUUACUGACGCUGACGUGCGAAACUGUGGGGAGCAAACAGGAUUAUAUACCCUGGUAGUCACGCCUUACAUGAUGAAUGUUACCCGUCCCGAUGUUUACUCUUCGGUGGCGCGGCUAACGCAUUAAACAUUCCGCCUGGUGAGUACGGCCGCUAGAUUAAUACUCAAGAAGGUUUGCCGGAUCAAAGUCUUGAGGGGUUGACG